UGGAGAGAAGAUGACUUGGAACAAAGG
rnacentral:piRNA from 1 species